AGAGUUGCCCUUCCCUUUUCUAGAGGGAGGGGAGAGAAGAUGCUGGGGAAGGUGCAGAUUGGUACUUUUGAUGAGUCAUCUUCAAACAGGCAUCAAAGAUUCAGUGUACAGGCAGCAACCUCUGGGGGUGAGGGCACUGCAUCGGGCAGGGUGUGGUGGUUGGGGGAUGCAAUUGGAAAGCAGUUUUAAAAAACAAACCAAAACCCACCAGACCCCAUGCUUUUCCUCUAAGCACUUAGCUGUGCUUUGCACCACCAUGUUGUAAGGUUACCACAAUAAAAGGAAGCCUUUUAGUUCCAACUGCUGCCCUUCCUGUAGUGUGGUACGUUGUCUGCAGGAAGCCAUGCAGUGCUGCUCUUACUCAGAAGAGGAUCUGCAUCACCCAGUGCUUAAAAUGGAUUGUCAAGUAACCUGAUAGGAGUUGGUAUUGAACACUUCAUCCAAAUAUGUUGAAGUACAUAUGACGCAGCACUGGAAUAUUCCUGCCUCUCUUAAUUGUAUAUAAAAUGUUUUUCUUCAAGCUUGCCAGUUCAGUGGCAUUUUCUAAAAUGCUCUGGACUGAUUAAAAAUACAUGUGGGUUUACUUCCAGACCAGCCUUUUUUUCUACGAAGACAGCAGGAAAAGACUUUUCAUUUAGGUGUGGUGAUAGCCUAUCUGCCAUUCUUUCCUUCCAUCUGCUAGGCGCCUGAAAGCAUAGGUAACAUUAAGAAUAGUUACCAACCAUGGCAUGGUACUCAGAAAGAAGAGUCUUUUCCAGAUCUUCCCUAACUGAAUAGCUCCUCCUGCCUGAUUUUCUUAGUUGAUUUUUUGAACACUUGGGAGUCAUACCUGCUUUUCACCUUGCUCUUAAAUCUCAAGAAAGGUUUGCUGUAUUGUCCAGAUGAAACCUGCCUGGAUAUAUGUACAAAUCACAGCUUGCAAACCAGUGAAGAAUUUGCUCAUUUUGCAACCAUACCAGCUUAUUACCAAUGCCAUUGCUGUCUGCAGUCUUUGAAUGUUUGUUUUUCCUCUUCUGUUGCUGCUGGUAAUCCCCAUGUUGAGUGGAUGCUGCAAGCUUGUUGCCCUGGACUUGAGUGACAGAGCAUACUGUGUUAUCAACAACACAGAGUUAAAGCAGAACUCAAGUAAAUGCAGAAGCUCUUGUUUAUGACCUCUAAGAAGAAUGUUAAGGAGACAUCUCAGGGAAGCAGAAACUUCUUGCUCCACCAAGUCUACUUCAUUAUAUGCGAUUAUUUUCCCCCCAACUCUGUCUUUCCAGGUCCUGUUGAAAGCCAAGAUUAAAAGGUGUGUGUGGAUGGGCGUUAACCAUCUGUUCCCAGUGACACUAAAUUCCCUAGUGAAUUCCAGUCUUUAUCUCUGUAGAUUUCUGAAAAGCAGAGAUGCAGCCACUUAAUGCUAAACCUUCAGCCACUAAAGCAAUCCUGAUUGUAUCAAAUGCUAUGCUUCCUAUUGGCUGUAAUGUGAUUCAACCCCGAUUUGUAGCUAUGUACAAUGUGGUGUUGCUAUACCACUUCUUAAACCUACGUUAACCUUUCCCACCAACUUUGGGCAAGGAGGUGAGGGUGGUUUUGCUGUGUAGCUGUAAUCUUGGACUUGUUAAUUGAGACAGUGUUCCUCUUCCUUCCCAGGUAUGAUAAAAGACGUUUCAGACCACA